rnacentral:rRNA from 1 species
GUAGGGUGCGAGCGUUGUCCGGAAUUAUUGGGCGUAAGAGCUCGUAGGCGGUCUGUCGCGUCGGUCGUGAAAACUUGGGGCUUAACCCUGAGCUUGCGGUCGAUACGGGCAUGACUGGAGUUCGGCAGGGGAGACUGGAAUUCCUGGUGUAGCGGUGAAAUGCGCAGAUAUCAGGAGGAACACCGGUGGCGAAGGCGGGUCUCUGGGCCGAUACUGACGCUGAGGAGCGAAAGCGUGGGGAGCGAACAGGAUUAGAUACCCUGGUAGUCCACGCCGUAAACGGUGGGCGCUAGGUGUGGGGGCCAUUCCACGGUCUCUGUGCCGUAGCUAACGCAUUAAGCGCCCCGCCUGGGGAGUACGGCCGCAAGGCUA